CCGAGGCUGUUGGGGCACUGUGUCUGGGAGAGGCAGACUUGGCCAGAGCCCAGGAGCUAAGAGGUUCGCUCAGGCACCUCCAGGAACCCACCCCACUGAAAGUCGAGGACUCUCCUGCCUACCAGUCCGUGGCAAUUUGCGUACUGCUUGGGGGAGGAGUGGGGGCGGGACCCGGUAGGGCGACUCUGCAGACGCGCCGUGCCCCGUGGGUGACCUCAGCUGCCUUUGGAGUAUCCUCUGCAGCAGCUGCCAGGUUUCACUGUUGCUUCAGAGCCUUUAGCUAAAUUUUGGACGGCUCUCAGAACUUUGGGACCCUUAGAUGGGUUGACUCAAUUGUACGUGAUGAAUAACCUCUCGUUGAGAUAAUUCUCUUUGGGUAUAUAAUUUUUACAAAUUUAAGAAUAAUGUUUAGGUAGAUGAUGUAAUGACAUGGGGAAAUGCCCACUAUAUUUUUAUAUGGAAAACUAGGGUUGCAGAAUCUCAGAAAUUCUGAUCUCAAACUGUGAAAAUAAAGGAAUUUUCUUAAAUGGAAAGAAAUGCACCAAAACAUUUACAGUAGUUAUGGUGAUAGAAUUAUGGAUUUUUGUUUUCUUUGUAAUCUUCUGAUUUCAGAUAUUUUACAUUGACAUGACCUGGUGUCAUGACUUUCAAGCCGAGAUUUCCCACAGACUGACCAACACUCUGAAUGAGAUGAUGACCCUGUUCUCACCUCCCACGCCAGCUCCUUCACCAACCAGAACAGUAGUGGUCACACCAACAUGUGUUGGCAUGUACCCACGCUGGGCACGGACUCAACAAUGAUGAUGCAAAGAUGCAUGGAUCCUGUCCUCAAAAAGCUUCCAAGGUACAAUGCAUACAAGAAAAAGGUUUAAGCUGUAUACUAUGACAUUUGCUGCAUCUAAGUCCAUGUCCAGAGUGUACGGUGUGGGAGUUUCGGCUCACUGAGAAAGGUUGCAGAAGGGAGGUCUGACUUCCAUUGAGCUCCUACUACAUACAAGGCACAUUGCAUACAAUAUUCCCUUUACAUUUGUGAGUAGGUAUUGUUAGAAACAGUUAAAACUGAGGAAUAGAUGUUCAUCUGGAGUUCUAACAUGCAUGCUUCUAUGAAAUUCAAGUAUGAUGGAAAUUUCACAAAGAGUUAACAAAAUGAGUGGUCAAAAUAGAUAAUUUAGGGAGUGUGGAGGCAUGAUGAGAAGAAGCAAUGAAGUGUAUGGUUCUUGUAGAGUGAAGUAGCAGAUUGGUUAAGUGUUGAUUAUGUUCCAAAAGUUAAGGGAAGUCUGUUUGUGCAAGGAGACAGAAAUCUGGUUCAGGAAACCCCGAUGAUCUCUACUUCAUGCUGAGCUGACCUGAGCGUCUCCUGUGUCUGCCUUGAUGGUUCAGUCAACCUUCUGAACAAAUUCUUUGGAGACAGUAUGUUAUUAAAUUGAUCUGUAUUUUUAUGUUCUCUCCCAGUCACUGUUAUUUACUAUUCACCAAGGCUGCCAAAUUUUAAACAGUUUUGGUAUAAAUGUUUGUUUCUAAGCCUUUGCUGAUAGAUGUGUUUUAUCUAACAGUUAUGGAAUCCAUUAACAUGAAGCACUAAAAUGCAAAAAGAAACUGAAGAGAUUUAUAAGCAUAUGAAAUGCCCUCACCAGAGACAGUUGAAAUAAUAAAUCCGAAGUCAAAGGAAUAUUUGUGAAGUUAUUAGCAGCAAGUUUAACUACUUGAAAACAUGUUUUGUGGGACUGAAUCAUUACUCUAUGUUAUGCUUAAUUUAAAAGGUAAAAUGCAAACUGAUUCUCAUUUAUUAGUAGCGACUUCUCAUUGUGUUUUAAGGAAACCCUACUGUUGUAGAAGAGACAAAUCCAACUUCAUAUGUUUCUGUGACAUUUGCCUCCUUGGUAACAGAAAUUGCCUGAAUGAUUUUUCUUUAAAAAAUCGGAAAUUUGAUGUACUUGAACAACGAUUAAAAUAAGAAAAAUUGGAAAUUUGGUAAAGCUCAAAUUGUUGAUAUUUUUAAGUGACAUUAAAAGACAUCCAGCACUACUGUUUUAUAAGAACACCCAAUUCUGAGUCCAAUUGCUGGUAGCAACAGGAGUCAAGGGUGAUUUUUUUCUUGGCUGCAACUUGGGCUAUAAUUAGCAUCCUCAGAAAUAAGCACCACCCCCCCACCAAAAAAAAAA